AUAAUAUAAAAAAAUAUACUUUUAUAAAAUAUAAAAUAAAAAAAAUAAUUAAUUAAUUUAUACCUUUUGUAUAAGGAAAAAUUGAAAUAUUAAAAAAUAUUUAUUAUCUCGAUAAUUAUUAAAAUAAAAAAACAUAUUAAUGUAGAAAUAAUUUUUUUUAUUAAUGUUAUAUAAAGAAAUAAUUUAACUAGUUAUUUUUAAAACAAAAUUUGGAAAAGCCUAAUUAUUUAACUUUUUAAUUUUUAAAAAAAAUAAAAUUUUAAACUAAUUUAUUUUAUUAUAAAAUAUAUAUAUAUUAUAUAAGUUUAAAAAAAUAAUAAAUUUAAAAUUAUUAAAAUAAUUUUAUUAGUAGAAUAAAACAAUUUUUUUUUUCAAAAAAAAAUUUAAUAAAAAAAAUAAUUUUAUUUUAAAUUAAUUUUUUUAAUUUUUAACAAAAUAUCAUCAAUAAAUUUUUAUUGUAAAUUCUGCUCAAUGAAAAAUUAAAUAGCCGAUUUAUCGCUAAGGUAGCAUAAUCAUUUGUUUUUUAAUUAAAAACUUGAAUGAUAGGAUAAAAAAAGAAUUAAAUCAAAAAUUAUUUUAAAAUUAAAAUUUUAUUAUUAAUGAAAAUAUUAAUAUUUUUUUUUAGACGGAAAGACCCUAAGAAUCUUUCUUUUUAAAAAGUUGUUUGGGAGAAAAAUUAGUUUUAAUAUUUAAUUAUUUUAAUGAAAAGAACUUUUUAAUAGAAUAAAUAAAAAGAUACUCUAGGGUUAACAGGAUAAAAUUUAAUUAAAGAACAAAUUUAUUAAAAUAUUAUUACCUCGAUGUUGGUUUUAUAAAACUAAAAAUUGCAAUAAAUUUUUUUAGUUAGUCUGUUCGACUAUAAAAAUAUAACUUGAACUGAGUUCAAAUCGGUGAAAACCAGAUUGGAUCUUAUCUAAAAAAUAAAAAUUUAAUAAUAGUACGAAAGGAAAAUAUUAAAUAUAAUCUAUA
rnacentral:rRNA from 1 species